rnacentral:rRNA from 1 species
GAUGAACGCUGGCGGCGUGCUUAACACAUGCAAGUCGAACGGAAAGGCCCUGCGUUUGUGGGGUUCUCGAGUGGCGAACGGGUGAGUAACACGUGAGUAACCUGCCCUUGACUUUGUGAUAACUUCACGAAACUGGGGCUAAUACCCGAUAGAAUCUCCUGCUGCAUGGGGGGGGUUGGAAAGUUUCGGCGGUAGGGGCUGGACUCGCGGCUUAUCGGCUUGUUGGUGGGGUAGUUGCUUACCAAGGCUUUGACGGCUAGCCGGCAUGAGAGGGUGACCGGCCACAAUGGGACUGAGAGACGGCGCAGACUCCUAUGGGAGGCAGAAGGCGGGAACAUUACACAGUGGGGCGAAGCCAGAUGUAGCAACGCCGCGUGCGGGAUGACGGCCUACGGGUUGUGAACCGCUUUCGCCGGUGACGAAGCGUGAGUGACGGUACUGGGUAAAGAAGCACCGGCUAACUAUGUG